AGUCGAGCAAUGGGGGAAAAAAAAAAGAUCCUGCUUAGAAAGCAAGAGGGAUGCACAAGCUCAGAAGAAUCUAAUUUAACGCUGAAACUGAACAAAUAAAACUGACAUACUAAAAUCUACUUUGAAAACGCAUUGAAGGUUUCUCCAGUGUGAAGUUGAACACAUAAAGAACCUUUGUUGUGCAUCCGAAUAUAAGAUCUGAAGCAAAAAUGUCCUGUAUAGAUCCUUAUCAGUACAUUAUGGUAGAACACCAGUAUUCCCACAGAUUCAAUGUGACAAUAAAGGAAGCCAGAAAUGUCACGAAAGGAGCUUUUGGUGAUAUGCUUGACACUCCAGAUCCCUAUGUGGAGCUGUUUAUCCCAUCAGCUCCUGAUUGUAGAAAGAGGACAAGGCAUAUCAAUAAUGAUAUUAAUCCUGUGUGGAAUGAGUCAUUUGAGUUUAUUUUGGACCCAAACCAGGAAAAUGUUCUGGAGAUUACUUUAAUGGAUGCCAACUAUGUCAUGGAUGAGACUCUUGGCACCUCAACAUUUCCUAUAUUCUCUCUUAAAGUGGGAGAGAAGAAAGAAGUUGUGUUUACUUUCAAUAAAGUCACAGAAAUGACUUUGGAAAUGUCUCUUGAGGUCUGCUCUUCAACUGACCUCCGGUUCAGCAUGGCUUUAUGUGAUGAGGAGAAGAAGUUUCGACACCAACGGAAGGAGAAAAUCAUGCAAAAUAUAAGAAAUCUUCUAGGAGCAGAAAAAAGCAAGGAUUUGACCAUCUCCCGUGAUGUACCAGUAAUAGCCAUACUGGGGUCAGGAGGUGGAUUUCGUGCCAUGGUGGGGUUUUCUGGAGUUAUGAAAGCACUUUACGAAUCAGGAAUUUUAGAUUGUGCAACAUAUGUUGCUGGCCUCUCUGGAUCUACUUGGUACAUGUCAACUUUAUAUUCUCACCCUGAUUUCCCAGAAAAGGGACCAAAGGAGAUUAAUCAAGAGUUGAUGAACAAUGUCAGUCACAAUCCACUUAAGCUGCUUACUCCCCAGAAAAUCAAACGCUAUAUUGAAGCAUUAUGGAACAAGAAAAGUUCUGGGCAGCCAGUCACAUUCACUGAUAUCUUUGGAAUGUUGAUUGGGGAAACACUUAUUCAAAAUCGAAUGGAUACCACCUUGAGCAAAAUGAAAGAGAAAAUCAACAGUGCUCAGUGUGCUCUGCCCCUCUUUACAUGUCUUCAUGUCAAACCGGAUGUUUCAGAGCUCAUGUUUGCAGAUUGGGUGGAAUUCAGUCCUUAUGAGAUUGGUAUGGCAAAGUAUGGCACAUUCAUGCCUCCUGAUACAUUUGGAAGUAAAUUUUUUAUGGGGACAGUGGUGAAAAAAUAUAAAGAAAAUCCUUUGCAUUUCUUAAUGGGUGUCUGGGGGAGUGCAUUUUCCAUAUUAUUUAACAGGGUACUUGGAGUUUCCAAUUCUCAAAAUGCAGGCCCCACCAUGGAGGAAGAAUUAGAAAAUAUUAGGCUAAAACAUCUUGUGGGCAGUGAUAGUUCAGACAGUGAAGAUGAAUCACAGAAACCAAAAGGUACUGAAAAUCCUGAUGCUGACAAAGAACAUGAAAAUAGCUGUCAAGAAAGCUGGAAGCAGCGCAUGUUCAGGGCCUUGGUGGGAGAUAGUACCCUUUUCAACACCAGGGAAGGGCGUGCUGGGAAAGUGCACAACUUCAUGCUGGGCUUGAACCUCAACUCCAGCUACCCACUAUCCCCUCUGGCAGACUUUAUGACUCAGGAAUCUGUGGAUGAAGAUGAAGUAGACAUGGCUGUUGCAGAUCCUGAUGAGUUUGAAAGGAUAUAUGAGCCACUGGACGUGAAGAGCAAAAAGAUUCAUAUAGUAGAUAGUGGGCUUACAUUUAACUUGCCUUAUCCUCUUAUUUUACGACCUCAGCGAGGAGUUGAUCUCAUCAUCUCCUUUGAUUUUUCUGCGAGGCCAAGUGACUCCAGUCCUCCUUUUAAGGAAAUUUUGCUUGCUGAAAAAUGGGCCAAAAUGAACAAGCUUCCUUUUCCAAAAAUAGAUCCAAAUGUGUUUGAUCGAGAGGGCUUGAAGGAGUGCUAUGUUUUUAAACCCAAGAACAGUUCUUCAGAGAAAGAUUGUCCAACCAUCAUCCACUUUGUUCUGGCAAACAUCAACUUCCGCAAAUACAAAGUUCCAGGUGUUUUAAGAGAAACUGAAGAAGAGAAGGAUUUUGCUGACUUCGAUAUUUUUGAUGAUCCUGAUACUCCAUUCUCAACUUUCAACUUCCAAUAUUCCAAUGAAGCCUUCAAAAGACUUCAUGAUCUAAUGGAAUUCAACACUCUGAAUAACUUAGAUGUGAUAAAGCAAGCAAUGGUGGAAAGCAUUGAAUACAGGAGACAGAAUCCAUCUCGCUGCUCUGUGUCCCUCAGUAACAUUGAGGCGAGGAAAUUCUUUAAUAAGAACUCUCCAAGCAAUGACCAUACAUAGAACUGCAGGUGUAAGUUCUUCAAGAAACUAGAUUUGAACAAGUGCUAAAAAGGACUUCAUCACUCAAGUGAAAAUCCAUUUGUGAAAUGUUGUGUGUCAGCAUAAUUCAUGCUUUUUUACAUAUAUAUUUACAAAUUUGGCAUAAAGGCUAUUAGUUUACAAAAUGUGGAAUCAUAACGUUUUUGUUGCCAAGUCAUUUAGGUCAAAAUGGUCCUAGUUACAACAAAUCUAUGAAUAUUUUCUUUCAAGAAAUGUCUAUUUUCCAUUUUUAAUUUGUUUAAUUGGGACCAUUUUCAAAUAUAUAAUAAAAGAACUGGAAUGCUAAGUUUUGUAUCAAUUACAAUAAAGUGUUAAUGAUGUUAGGUCGAUCUACACUUACACUAAAUACUAAGCCAAAAUACCACUCUACUUUAUGUCAAUAGUAAAACUUCCGUUGACUUCAGUGUGAACAGUCAACAGUAAUCAACAUCAAUUUGAAACCUCUCAGGAGUUUGUUCUUAUCAGCACUAUUAAUGUUGAUGUCUUUUGUUGAUGAACCUUUAAUGGAAAGGUUUUUGAGUAACUGAUCACUAAUAGUUGUUGGUCAGAGUGACCCCACCUUAAAUCUAGUGUCAUAAAUCCAUAAUCAAAUGUGCUGUUUCCUCAAAAAAAAAAAAAUGCCGAUCGCUAGCAUGGAGAAAUAAUACAAAUAUGUUUGUGCAUUUUUAUCAAAUGUAUGGGUCAGAUUCUCAUCUGGUCAUUCACUUUAUUAAUCCUCUCAUAAUUUAUAGCAAUUGAGGUUUUGUCAAAACUUUUUUUUCAUUUUAAUUUUAAAUAUUUUCACAAAAAUUAAAGGUGGUGUUUCACUACUACCUUCUGAUGCAGUCCAUCUUCAUUAUAAGUGAAUUAACAUGUCAAUCAACAUGUUGGGAAGUUUCAGCUCUUGUGAAAACUUUAUAAAGAGGCAUAGAUCUAUUCAGAAUUUAAAAGUUAACUGUAUAUGUUUGUAUCUGCAUAAUGAAGAAUUGUAAAAGGUUUUUAAAUACAGUUGUGUUUGAUUGUGGUCAGAAAAAGGAUAUUGAAUUGCACAGCAAAAAUGGUUUCUGUAGGGUAAUAAGACUUGGGUAAGAAUGAAACAUGAUUCACUUUUUAAGGCAUAUUUUUUCAACUAAUUUUAACUAUAUGUAUGUUUAUGUGUUUGUGUGUGUAUUUUUAAUACUUUCUAGUGUGGUAGUCCUCAAAAAUCCAAGUAGAGUGACACUAUGGAAACACACAGGGUGACACAACCAGUGUUUCAAACACCUCAGAGUCUAAUUUGGGGACAGUAGGGUGAAUAAGUGUAAUAAGCAAUAAAUGAAAGAAGUUGGACAAGGAAGGUGAAGAUAAAGAUAAUAAACCAUGGUGGUUACAUAGGUUAGCUAUGUGAAUGACUUGAUGGUUGUGAAUUAUAUGAAAUAUUGCCUGUUUUGUUGUAUUUUAACAAACAAAUAGUAGCAACUCUCUCCGACUAUCAAUCAACAGUCAUUAGUUGGCUGAUUUCUUAUAGAUGUCAUUGCAAAAGUGGUUUUAAAGAAGAAGAUGGUAGCAGAUUUAUGGCUUAGUUCAAGACAUUAACUGCUGUGUGUGAGGUGGCAUAAGAAAAUGAAACAAAUAUGUGGUAUGAAGCAGAGUAAAGACAUUCCAGGUUGGUGUUUUAGUAGUACUGUAUUUACUCAAUUCUAAGACAACCUUGAAUUUAAGAUGACCUCCUCAAUAAUUAGAUUCCGUACAAGGAAAAAUUUUAAAUUGAUAUUACUUUUAUAAAUAGACGUACUGAUAAAAUUGUAGCAAUACCAGUAACUCAUAAAUUCAACAAUAACUUUAAUGCAAUGCAAACAUUAAUUUAACUUACAUUAGGUUCUGUCCAGAACUUGAGGAGUGCUCUGCGCACUGGAUCCCUCCUUACUGCUGCCCAGAGCCUCGCCGCAUGUUGGGUCCCUUUCUGAGUGCUGAGUCCCUUGUCGCUGCAGCUAGAUCCUUCCCCACAACAUUCAGGAUGCCUGAAUGUCCCUUGGGGGUCCCUUCCUGCUGUAUACCGUUCUGACCCCUGCUGGGUGUGUCCCCCCCGAAUACUGACUGGCCCCUGCGGAGUCCUUCCCUAUAAGCAUGGUCAGCCCCUCCCUACAGUGUGUUGGGUGCCUGGUUUGCAGGUGCCCAGUUGCUCCCAGAUACUGCCUGGUUAGUUCAGAGUUUCUUCUUGCAGCUUGCAGUGUUUCUGGCUGGAAUAUUCUUGGACAGGUCUGAGCUGCUGCCAUGCCUGUAGAUGCCAAGAUGACUCAGUAUGUGCUGGUUAGAAACUUCAUGUGAGCAGAGAUGUCGCCUGGCCAGUGCUUGCUGGGUCAUUCCCAGCUGUGUGCAAGGAGCCUGGCCAGCACAUGUUUAGGUGCCUCAGCACCCAACAGCUGGGCAGAAACUUGGAGCGACUCAGCACACUCUGGUUGGAAACUCUGCAGGCUGUGGAGAUGAUGCGUGGAUGGUGCCUGCUGGGUCAUACCCAGCUGCAUGCAAAAGCAGCCUGGCCAGCAUGUGCUGUGAGUUGCUGACAGCAUAGGCUGGUAAGGCUCCUUGCUCACAGCUGAGCAAUAACUAAGCAGGCAAAGCAUGGGGGUCCCUCCAACACCCACCAGCCAGGCAGCAGCUUGGAGUGACCAGGUACCAGCUGGCUAGGGACCCUGCAUGCUGAGGGGAUGUGCCUGGCCUACAUGAGCCCUGUCACCCUCUGCUGCAUGGCCACAUGCUAGGUGCCUUCCACGCUGCCUCCUCACAUACCUCACCACCCCCUGCAUAUCUUCUGAUUUCAGGUAAGUCAUACUCAAUUCUAAGAUGAGGCUUGAUUUUUCUCCAUGUUGAAUGGAGGGGUGGGGAGGCUCAUUGUAGAAUCAAGUAAAUAUGGUACUUUAUUUAAUCUGUUCCAUGAGAUGAAGAGAGACAGAUUUAAAUAAGAUUAUUCAUUGUGGGAAAUAUUAGGCAUAUAUUUGUCUUUGGAAGAUUGGGUCCUUAAAUCAUAAGCUUCCCAUUGUAAAGACCUUAUGUAAAACCUUGACUGCAAGUAAAUGACAAAACUUCUGUUGACUUCAAUGGGACCAGAAUUAUACUUGUUAUCUUUUUAAUUAUCUGUUAAUUAAAUAGCCUCCCAGCAAACUUAGCACUCCAUAAAUAAUAAUAAAUUACAGUUGAAAACAUUACUUUGUGGGAGCACCAUUGGAAGCCCAUACAAUUUUUUAUUUGAUAAUUUCAUCAA